AAGGAUCAUUACUGAGUCUUUGAACUGGGUUUGAUGCUGGCCUUCCGAGGCAUGUGCUCGCCCUGCUCUCAUCCACUCACCCCUUGUGCACCUUACGUCGAAGAUGCGAUUGGAAGCUGGGGAAACCUAGCCAAUGGUUGCUUCUUUGCGUUACUUUACACAAAACCCUUGAAUGUAUUAGAAUGUCCAUUGGCCUACGGGCUUGUAAUUUAAAGUACAACUUUCAACAACGGAUCUCUUGGCUCUCGCAUCGAUGAAGAACGCAGCGAAAUGCGAUAAGUAAUGUGAAUUGCAGAAUUCAGUGAAUCAUCGAAUCUUUGAACGCACCUUGCGCUCCUUGGUAUUCCGAGGAGCAUGCCUGUUUGAGUGUCGUGAACAUUAUCAACCCCAGUGGGAUUUUUAAUAUCCCAACUGGUUGGCUUUGGACUUGGGGGUCUUUG
rnacentral:misc_RNA from 1 species